AUGUUAGCAAUUGGAAUAUUUCUAUGUGCCACUUUUCUUCCAAAUGAUGGCCUCGUAGGCACUGUCUGGUUACUGAGCACUGGCAAAAAAAAAAAAAAAAAAAAAAAAAAGGCAAGGGAUGUGAGCUGCUCUGCCAAGCAGGCCCAAACUAACAGAUAUUCUUUUUCCUGGCCGAAGGGUGCAUCUGACCAACUCAUGUUGUGUUGGCAACAGUCUGUGGAGCCUAUUGCUUUGAUACCUGGGGUGGAGGUGGAUGGACGUUGGAUUUAAGAAGCCCUUUGUGCAUAUCUGGCUUUGAACCUGUAGCUGAGGAGCUGUAUUUCUGCCAGAAACAUUACUGGGAAGGAGGCCAGUGAUGGCAGUAUUCUCACACACAGCAAUGUUCCUGAAAGCAGCAUGGGACAUUACCUAAGGCUGCUCUCCUCAACACCACACCUCUGUUGCUGCGGUGCAGUUCUGUUUUCAAAGGUCUACAUGGGGAACCCAGGGCUCCUGACUUCCACCCUCAAAUAUCUCCUCCACCAGUGGGAGACACAGACAGGAGACUGUUCCAUUCAUAACUGCUUUUUACGUAUCUGAAAACUGUACUGAAUCUUGACUAAAGAACCUCCAUCUUUAAACCUUUCCAUCCAAGUCAUUUUUGAGUGUUGGAGUGCAGCACUGUGCAGACAGCUGUGGCCUCUCACUUAUGUGAUGAGUGAAGUUCAGUUUGAAAGACUGAGGUUAGACAAAUUCAUGUGGUCUGGCAAGGAGACAAGGCUGAGGGUUUCAGGCAUUAUCAUCUGGAAAAGAAAAAUCAUUCAACAUGUUAAAUGAAGGUUAGAAGGCUGUACUCAAGAUUACUAUAACAGCUACAUCAGCUCUGUGAGCCCUGCCCUGCACUGACUGCUGCUGGCCCAGCUGCAUCCACUGCAACAGUGCCACCCAGUGCAACUCAGCUGGAGGCUCAUUUUGUGCUUUACAAAUUCAAAACCAUUCCCUGUGUCCUAGGUCUUAAUCUUCCUAGCCUGGGGGCUGCCCUGGACACAAUGAUGCUGUAAAUAGUAAGAUACCAGUAGCAGAAGCACCUGUCUUUCUGGCUGGGUUUUCAAAAGUGAGUCUUCAGCUUCUUCUGUAACCACAAUGCUGAGAAAUGCCUUUUUAACAAACCAAAACCAAUACCAGCAUGUUUCUCAGCCAGCUGCCUGAGUGCUGGGGAUGGGAGAGAUGCUACAAAUAGCAUGAGAG
rnacentral:lncRNA from 1 species